GUCGCUGCCCACAUCGAGGAGCUCAUCAGAGAAGGGGGUGACGCCGUGGCGCGCGGUCCGGUCGAGCACUUGGUGCGCCGUGCCGCCGAGCCGAACCGUCAUCUCCGUCUGCACCGCUGCCUUCCUGUCCCCAGCCAUGCCGCCGCGUCGCCUUCCCUGUUCCCGGUCGCUGUCGCCACCGCCGACAACCUGCGGGUGAACCUGGUGAGCUAUGUUGUCGAGCUGGUGAAUGCGGCGAAGGGCAAGGUGAACAUGGAGUACAUGCGGUUGGUGGUCGACCUCAUGAUCGUCUUAAAUCAUUACAUGGAAAAUGGAACACCUACUUUCGCAGCUUCGCUUCAACAGAUCAAUGCAGCCAGGGCGUCAUUUUGUUUACCGAUGGACAAGUCCCCACCUACCGCCGAUUUCUCUCCUCUCCCCACCUACCGCCAUCUGUCCUCACACUCACCGGCGCCGGCGCACCGGGUGGGGAAGCCUAGAAGGGCGGCGGUCGAGGAGCUCCUUGGGCGGCACGGCGACGAGCUCCCUGGCGGCACCGGUCGCUGCCUCUCUGUCAACCCGUCGACGACGCCACCUCCGCUCGAGAUCCGCCACUGGGGCGAUGGCCGGCGGCGUAGAGAUCCACGAGCGGUCGUGGCAGGCGACGGUUGCGGUCAUCGACGGGCUGACGGGAGGGAGGCGCGGUCGUGGCGGGCGGCGGUGGCGGUCGUCGACGGGCUGAUGGGAGGGAGGUCGGCGACGGCGGCAGUGGCGCGGUCGUGGUGGGCCCCGGACGACGGCCACGCUUGGCGCCAUGGCUCUUUGUUCCUAUAG
rnacentral:lncRNA from 1 species